CCUACGGGUGGCAGCAGUGGGGAAUAUUGGGCAAUGGAGGAAACUCUGACCCAGCAACGCCGCGUGAAUGAUGAAGGUCUUCGGAUUGUAAAGUCCUUUUCUAAGGGAAGAAGAAAGUGACGGUACCUUAGGAAUAAGCCUCGGCUAACUACGUGCCAGCAGCCGCGGUAAUACGUAGGAGGCGAGCGUUAUCCGGAAUGCCUGGGCGUAAAGGGUGCGUAGGUGGUAUGGCAAGUUAGUAGGGUAACUCGAGGGGUCAACCUUGGAACUACCAGUAAAACUGUUGGACUUGAGGGCAGGAGAGGUAGGCGGAAUGCGUGGUGUAGCGGGGGAAUGCAUAGAUAUUACGAAGAACA
rnacentral:rRNA from 1 species